rnacentral:rRNA from 1 species
UCGGGAAUCUUGCGCAAUGGGCGAAAGCCUGACGCAGCAACACCGUGUGAGCGACGAAGGCCUUCGGGUCGUAAAGCUCUGUUGUUGGGGACGAAGGGUUAGGGGUUAAUAGCCCCGAGCCUGACGGUACCCUUCGAGGAAGCCCCGGCUAACUACGUGCCAGCAGCCGCGGUAAUACGUAGGGGGCGAGCGUUGUCCGGAAUUAUUGGGCGUAAAGAGCGUGUAGGCGGUUCGGUAAGUCUGCCGUGAAAACCCAGGGCUCAACCCUGGGCGUGCGGUGGAUACUGCCGGGCUAGAGGGUGGUAGAGGCGAGUGGAAUUCCCGGUGUAGCGGUGAAAUGCGCAGAUAUCGGGAGGAACACCAGUAGCGAAGGCGGCUCGCUGGGCCACACCUGACGCUGAGACGCGAAAGCGUGGGGAGCAAACAGG